rnacentral:rRNA from 1 species
AUUGAACGCUGGCGGCAGGCCUAACACAUGCAAGUCGAGCGGAUGAAGGGAGCUUGCUCCUGGAUUCAGCGGCGGACGGGUGAGUAAUGCCUAGGAAUCUGCCUGGUAGUGGGGGAUAACGUCCGGAAACGGGCGCUAAUACCGCAUACGUCCUGAGGGAGAAAGUGGGGGAUCUUCGGACCUCACGCUAUCAGAUGAGCCUAGGUCGGAUUAGCUAGUUGGUGGGGUAAAGGCCUACCAAGGCGACGAUCCGUAACUGGUCUGAGAGGAUGAUCAGUCACACUGGAACUGAGACACGGUCCAGACUCCUACGGGAGGCAGCAGUGGGGAAUAUUGGACAAUGGGCGAAAGCCUGAUCCAGCCAUGCCGCGUGUGUGAAGAAGGUCUUCGGAUUGUAAAGCACUUUAAGUUGGGAGGAAGAGGAGUAAGUUAAUACCUUGCUGUUUUGACGUUACCAACAGAAUAAGCACCGGCUAACUUCGUG